GAUGAACGCUGGCGGCGUGCUUAACACAUGCAAGUCGAACGGAAGGGCCCCUUUGGGGGUACUCGAGUGGCGAACGGGUGAGUAACACGUGAGUAACCUGCCCUUGACUUCGGGAUAACUUUAGGAAACUGGGGCUAAUACCGGAUAGGAAUCCUUGCUGCAUGGUGGGGGUUGGAAAGCUUCGGCGGUUUUGGAUGGCCUCGCGGCGUAUCAGCUUGUUGGUGGAGUAGUGGCUUACCAAGGCUGUGACGGGUAGCCGGCCUGAGGAGGCGACCGGCCACAUUGGGACUGAGAGGCGGCCGAGAUUCCGACUGGAGGCAGAAGUGGGGAAUAUUGCACAAGGAGCGGAGGCCGGAUGCAGCAACGCCGCGUGCGGGAUGACGGCGUUCUGGUUGUAAACCGCUUGCAGCAGGGGCGAAGCUUGUGGUGACGGUACCUGCAGAAGAAGCACCGGCUAACUACGUG
rnacentral:rRNA from 1 species